GAUGAACGCUAGCGAUAGGCCUAACACAUGCAAGUCGAGGGGCAUCACAUGAGGCAGCAAUGCCGAUGGUGGCGACCGGCGCACGGGUGAGUAACACGUAUGCAACCUGCCUUCAACAAGAGGAUAACCCGUUGAAAGACGGACUAAUACCCUAUAACACAGGGGUCCCGCAUGGGAAUAUUUGUUAAAGGACAACCGGUUGAAGAUGGGCAUGCGUUCCAUUAGCUAGUUGGCGGGGUAACGGCCCACCAAGGCAACGAUGGAUAGGGGAACUGAGAGGUUUAUCCCCCACACUGGUACUGAGACACGGACCAGACUCCUACGGGAGGCAGCAGUGAGGAAUAUUGGUCAAUGGACGCAAGUCUGAACCAGCCACGUCGCGUGAAGGAAGACGGCCCUACGGGUUGUAAACUUCUUUUAUACGGGAAUAAAGUGCCCCACGUGUGGGGUUUUGCAAGUACCGUAUGAAUAAGGAUCGGCUAACUCCGUGCCAGCAGCCGCGGUAAUUACGC
rnacentral:rRNA from 1 species